ACGGAGGGUGCAAGCGUUAAUCGGAAUUACUGGGCGUAAAGCGCACGCAGGCGGUUUGUUAAGUCAGAUGUGAAAUCCCCGGGCUCAACCUGGGAACUGCCUCUGAUACUGGCAAGCUUGAGUCUUGUAGAGGUGGGUAGAAUGCCAGGUGUAGCGGUGAAAUGCGUAGAGAUCUGGAGGAAUACCGGUGGCGAAGGCAGCCCCCUGGACGAAAACUGACGCUCAUGCGCGAAAGCGUGGGGAGCAAACAG
rnacentral:rRNA from 1 species